GUGUUCUCUUUGGCAGCACAUAUACUAAUAUCAUAAUAUGGAGAAGAUUAGCAUGGCCCCUGUGCAAAGAUGACACACAAAUUCACGGAGUGUUCCAUAUUUUU